UACGUAGGUGACAAGCGUUGUCCGGAUUUACUGGGCGUAAAGAGCGCGCAGGCGGUCGAUCAAGUCGAGUGUGAAAGCCCCCGGCUCAACUGGGGAGGGUCAUUCGAUACUGAUCGACUCGAAGGCAGGAGAGGGUAGUGGAAUUCCCGGUGUAGUGGUGAAAUGCGUAGAUAUCGGGAGGAACACCAGUGGCGAAGGCGACUAUCUGGCCUGUUCUUGACGCUGAGGCGCGAAAGCUAGGGGAGCAAACGGGG
rnacentral:rRNA from 1 species